CCAGGUACCUGGUUUCCAGCAGGGACAUGAAGAUGUUUUCAUUGACUAAUCCUGAAAACACGUCUUACUGGGUGCAAUGUUACUAGCACAGGCGGUCCAGUUGGUGACAAACAUAUAAGGAAUAACUUCUUGAAACGGUUAAAUGAAAAUGUGAUUCAUCUGUGGAUAUUUUUGUCCUGGUCAUAGCUUCAAGAUUUGAAGAGGAACAGCAGCUAUCUGUAAAUUUUCACUUGCUCUUGCAUGUGAGGUGCUUCAAAAGACACAAGGAAAGACUAAAAUGCUUUCAGGACUUCUCAGCUGCCUAAUUAGGAUCAUCUUGUCUGGGACACGAUUGCGAAGUGACAACAGGGUCAUCCUUUCUCUGCCAGAUUCCCAUCUUAAAGGAGUUCCAGGAGACCUUUAAGUAUGGGAUGGUGUUCCUUGAGUCUGUUCAAGUCCAGCAUCAGAGGAGACUUCUGCCUGAUUUAUGCCAGCCCAAUGGUAGAACACGUAUUUUUUGGAUGAGGCAAGCAUCAAGGACUUUUGAGUGGCAAAGGGAUGGACCAGGUGGAAACAGGCAGGCCUGCAGCAGUGCAGAGGAUACACACAGCCUGAGCAGAAGGGAAACAAAAGCUAGGGAUGGACAGAAAACCAAUAGUGCCAGACCUGGUGAUUUAACAUCAUCUCCAGAGAUGCACGACUGCACGGGGGACUGGGUAACACUUCUGAGCAGCUUUCUGGCCAGUUUAAAAGGUAGAGCAUUCCUAUCUUCCACUUGGAAAAAAAGAACUGCGUGGAUGGAUGCCACGGUCCCAAGAAGGAGAAUCAAAUAACGCUCCCAAUUUGCAAAGGAAUGGAAACAUUCAAGUACGUGAGCACUUCAACCAGAUCGCAGCACAAGCUGGGGCACGGUAGGAGCUGGACUAAAUGGGCAGAGCUAUACAGUCAGCGACAGUGGUUUACAACAUGUGGCCUACAGACUUCUAGGGAUCCACAGAGGACUUCCAAGGGCUGCAGAAGAGUGCUGCUACAGGCAACGGUGCUACACCGGAGAUAACUGAAUGGCAAAGGAGGGUGGAUAUUUUAGACAAGCCUACAUCUGCAGGAAGGAAGAGAAUGUGACACCUCUGUAGGACGUCAGUUUUAAAACAAAUGCAGCAGGAUCCAGUGGUUUUCCAUUUUUAAGCUCAAGUCCUCCUACUAUGACAGAAUUACAAGUGGUAAAUUAAUUACUUGGACAAUCCAAAUGGGUAACGAAGAGGGAGCUGAAUGAUGGCUUGAAGACCUUCUGUACUUCAGUCACUCCAGUGGACUAGAAGGAUGCUAGGGCCAGGUACCACAGCGGGCAGUGGAACACUGCAGUCAAAGCUACUUUCCAUGACAGUCUGGAGCCAACUCUGCAUCUCUGCAGAGGAUAUGACAGCACCAGACUCCUUUAACUUCUUCUGCCUUCUUUGCUCUCUGUCUACUAAGAGAGUGAAUUCUGAGUUUUGGACCCUGCAUAUAUUUUAUCCAUAGCAACCACAACACUUCCCUCAGAUUUGCUAAAACACACGUCUUUAAUUUAGAACAAGGAAGAUGGAUCUUCCUGCUGAUACUCUGCUUCUGAGCUCAUCUGAAAUUUAGAAGUCAGCAUCUUUGCUACAUCAGGGCUUUCCGAUGGCUUUCCCCAUCUUACAGCCUCCAAAGUCUGGCUUAGCAACCCAUAACCUUUGCAAGCAAUCACUGGGAAAGCACUGAAGACAAAUUGUUGAGUGAUGAUUCACUCUACCACGGUUUGGUUGCUUUAUCAUUUUCUAAUGCUGCUGAUGGGAAGAUAUUUUCUAUUGUGAGAGGCUUGUUUUCCUGCUCCAUUGGAACAAGGAUUUCCUGAGGAGUGACUUCUCCUUACAGCGUGUGAAAUUUCUUGUCUUUUAGCUCCUGGAAGGCUAACUUAAUUAACCAUCACCCAGUUACUUACUACCUUCCUGUUCCCUCUCACCUUUUCAACACUCACUUUAAAGCAGAGGGCUCCUCACAGGACUCAGACACUGGGAAACAGGGCGUGACUGAGGAAAAGCCAUCAUAAAUCAGCAGCGGAGGAGGAAAUGUGUAGGACUAGGCUGGAGCAAUCAGGGGCCGCAUGUAGACAACAGCGCUGGGUAUUGCCCGCGGUGGGGAGCCACACUGCAGUCCUGGCACUGCUGGCCUUCAGCAUCAACUCCAGCUUGGAACGGCCACCUCCAGUGCCGACAGUCACAGCAAAAGACUUCUUUCCCCUCCAACCAGAAACAGCACUCGGGGCUUCUCAAGAAAGCAAAGGCACAACAGAAGUCAAGGUUUAUCUGCUCAGGCAGAAAGCCCAAAGCCGCUGCAUUCUUCUCUUAUUUACAGUCUUUGGUGAGGACUACCCUCCCCUGAUGACUGCAGAUUUUAAUAUUUCAUUACAAAUACAGCUGGCUGCUUUGGGAUGCUUGCAGGCAUAGCUGCACCUGUUAGGCUAGAUGCUUAACGAAAUAAAAAGGCAUGUUCUGAGGGACACGGUCUCCUCAGUGACAGACUGCAUGUUUAAAAGAGUUCAUUAAUGUCAUCCUGUGUGACCUCCUGCGUGACCAUCCCUACAAGACUUUCACAAAGGGAUGCUCUAGAGAAGCCAUUAACUCCCCCCAAAAAGUAGUGUCUUAAAAAUCUUUUAAGACACUACAAAACCUAUAGAAAUGCCUCUGGACUGAUGGUGAGGGCGGGUACACGUAGGUGUGCGCCUUUAGGUUGGUGGAGUAGAAGAGAUGUCAGUCACAUCACAUAGCUCGCUGUUGUUGUCCCUUCUCAGCUCCAGGGGGCUGGGAGAAGCAGCUGUACUGCAGGGAUGCCAGCCGUCAGCAAAAUACAGCCAUUGUUUAUCAGUUUAGUGCUCUUUAUUUCCUAAUUUAUUUACCAGGGACAUGUGUGGUGUUCAGUGAAAGCUAGUGUGCUGAAGUCUGAAAAACACCCUUCCGUUUGCUGAUGUGUUAGUUCUUAUUAAAUACAACUGAUCUGUUGAAGAAAAUUAAAGUUUUAUUAAAAAUAAAUUAAUAAAAAAAGAGGAGGGGAGGAAAGAGAUGAGCAGGAAAAUUCCAGAAAAGUGAAAUACCAAAGCGAAAUAGCUCCUUGGCUCACACUGGGAGGAGAUAAAACAGGAAGCAGAUCGACCCAGUCUCAUUCUCAUUUUCUAACUGAUUGCACUGGACAUCAAGUGCCCCAGGGAGGGCAGGGACCUCACAGCAUGCAGCUCCUGCCCCAGCAACACAUGCACAGAAGGGUAAAUGGUCGCUUUGUGGCCACAUAUCUCAACGAGCCCAAUAUGCUCUGCAUGCAAGCUGCCGGCCUUGUGUUUGCCAGCUCAGGUGCUGCUAUCUCCUUCCCGUUUACGUAAAGAUAUCUGUAAUGGCCGGGACCCCACGGCAAGUGCUGCCAACCUCUGUACCAAGAGGAAUUAAUUGCAGGAUAGGGGCCCGCUGUGGCGCAGAUAAAAGGGAUCUAGAAAAGUGACGGAGCCCAGACAGCAUUAGAUAAAUGGUGGUGAGAAAGCCUGCAUUAAUAGCACUAAUGUAGCUGUGUUUCCUGAAAAAAAGAACAAGAAAUUCCCUAGUGUAGACAUACUUAUUGUUGGCCAAAAAGCAUUCUGAAUUCCUCAAUAAUCAGGCAGGAAGUGGUAAAAACUGUCAGAUGAAAUGACCAAUAUGUUAUUUUUUCCAUUAUCAAAAAUAUAUUUUAGGUCAUUACUGUUAGAGAAAAACAUUUUGUGGCCAAUCCGAUUUAUUUUUUCAGCCAUAAUAAAUUUGGCAGUGAUAGACAGCAAAAGGAAUUUCUGUACACAAAAAUGCAUUAUAAGAACUUUGUUUCAAUCCAGAUCAGUACUUUGCCUUAUAGGUGCAUUAGUCACUAGCGCACACUGCUCUUUCAAAAAUUUGCACAAAUAGAAAUUAUGUGUUAGUGUUUUCCCAGUCAGCAAUCAGAAAACCAGAAUUGUAAUAACCAUAAAUUUUUGUACUGCAUGGAGACAGCUGGAGUUUUCAUCGCAAACUGACACAAAACAUACAAGGUAGUUUCUGAUUGGAUUUAGUCUCUUUAUGCAAUCACUUUUGUUUGAUUUCCUCCAUGACAGAAAUCGAAGUGUUGACUUGUAUCAGAAUAGGUCUACCGGCUUGCUUUGGUUGGCUGUUCUGAGAACCUCCCAUCACGAUUUCCUGUUCUCUCCAUUUUAGAGGAGCUCUCUCUUUCCUCUGAUGGGUGUAAAGCAGUCGGACCCACCUGGUGUUGCUGCCGGAGUUGCGUCAGCAGCGUAACACUGUGGUUCCUUCCAACUUCCUUCUCUGUAGAUAAAGAGAAAGGAGGACGCUAGCUUAAUAACUUCUCCCCAUUGUGCCCCAGAGGUUAGGCAUCUUGCCAUACACAGAUGUUAUCAAAAAUGGAAUCAUUUUAUAAAUAAACUGUGAAUUAACAGCAGUCUGGAUAAAUGUAUGCCUUGGUCCAAGACUGAUGUAUUCCAUUCUUUGUGAGCAUUCCCUAAAUAAACUGAAUGUUUUCAUUUUGU